rnacentral:rRNA from 1 species
UACGGAGGGUGCGAGCGUUGUCCGGAAUCACUGGGCGUAAAGGGCGCGUAGGCGGCUCGUGAAGUCAGUGGUGAAAGCCCAGGGCUCAACUCUGGGUCGGCCACUGAUACUCGCGAGCUCGAGUUUGGUAGAGGCAGAUGGAAUUCCGGGUGUAGCGGUGGAAUGCGUAGAGAUCGGGAGGAACACCAGAGGCGAAGGCGGCAAGCUGGAUGGGCACUGACACUCAACUACGAAAGCGUGGGGAGCAAACAGG